UGGGGAAUAUUGCACAAUGGGCGGAAAGCCUGAUGCAGCAACGCCGCGUGAGUGAUGAAGGCCUUCGGGUUGUAAAGCUCUGUCUUUUGGGACGAUAAUGACGGUACCAAAGGAGGAAGCCACGGCUAACUACGUGCCAGCAGCCGCGGUAAUACGUAGUUGGCAAGCGUUGUCCGGAUUUACUGGGCGUAAAGGAUGCGUAGGCGGAUUUUUAAGUGAGAUGUGAAAUACCCGGGCUUAACUUGGGUGCUGCAUUUCAAACUGGGAAUCUAGAGUGCGGGAGAGGAAAAUGGAAUUCCUAGUGUAGCGGUGAAAUGCGUAGAGAUUAGGAAGAACACCAGUGGCGAAGGCGAUUCUCUGGACCGUAACUGACGCUGAGGCAUGAAAGCGUGGGUAGCAAACAGGAUUAGAUACCCUGGUAGUCCACGCCGUAAACGAUGAGUACUAGGUGUAGGAGGUAUCGACCCCUUCUGUGCCGCAGUUAACACAAUAAGUACUCCGCCUGGGAAGUACGAUCGCAAGAUU
rnacentral:rRNA from 1 species